CCCUACGAUUAAAAACCUCAGGUCCCUCAGGCAAUCAUACCAGAUAUUGAAACAAAGCAAUAACAUAAGGACUGCAGUAUUCAUUUUAUUUUUAUAUUAUUUAUUUAUUCUUCGUUAGUUUCUUCAGAUUAUCAUCCACUGAGGGUGGAAGGGGAGUGAGCAGACACACUUGGGAGGUGUCUUGAGAUUAUCAUCCGCUGAGGGUGGAGCUGAGGGUGGAAGGGGAGUGAGCAGACACACUCGGGAGGUGUCUUGAGAUUAUCAUCCGCUGAGGGUGGAAGGGGAUAGAGCAGACACUCCGCAGGUGUCUUGAGAUUAUCAUCCGCUGAGGGUAGAGCUGAGGGUGGAAGGGGAGUGAGCAGACACUCGGGAGGUGUCUUGAGGCUCAGGGAGUUAUCAAUUAUAGAAUGUUGUUGAGUUGGAGGAGGUGGCUGGUGGCCCAUCCUGUUUUUUAAAGU
rnacentral:lncRNA from 1 species